rnacentral:rRNA from 1 species
UACAGAGGGGGCAAGCGUUGUUCGGAAUUACUGGGCGUAAAGGGCGCGUAGGCGGUGUGUCAAGUCAGGCGUGAAAGCCCCGGGCUCAACCUGGGAACCGCGCUUGAGACUGGCACGCUCGAGUUCGGGAGAGGAUGGUGGAUUUCCCAGUGUAGAGGUGAAAUUCGUAGAUAUUGGGAAGAACACCGAUGGCGAAGGCAGCCAUCUGGACCGACACUGACGCUGAGGCGCGAAAGCGUGGGGAGCAAACAGG